CUGAUCUGAGUCAAAAUUAGGCAAAUCUAAAGCAAAAACAAGUCUAAACUGAGGUAAAUAACAGAAAAGAGUCAAGCAAAACCCAAAGACUUUCAAACAAAAAGAACUCUCAUGGUAAGAGAAUCUGAAGCCCCUUCCACUAUUUUAUUUCCUCCCCUUCUUGCAGGACAAUAGGUCUUUGAAGCACAUGAGCCAAGAUAAAAAUUAAACAAGGCCACCUAAGGAUGAGGUGAAGACUAAGUUGAGGUAAAAACAACCCAAAGCCAAUGUCAUCAGAGGGCCAACCUCACAAAACCAGCCUCAAAAGGUCAAUAUCACUAGAAGUCUAAGGUCAUCAAAAGACUAACCUAAGCAAACUAAGGUCGAGCUAUCAAGUAAAAAGCCAACAACUGAAAGGAAGG
rnacentral:lncRNA from 1 species